CCUACGGGUGGCUGCAGUGAGGAAUAUUGGUCAUUGGGCGCGAGCCUGACCCAGCCAAGUCGCGUGAGGGAAGACGGCCCUAUGGAUUGUAAACGUCUUUUGUCGGGGAGCAAAAGAUGCCACGCGUGGCGUUCCGAGAGUACCCGACGAAAAAGCAUCGGAAAACUCCGUGCCAGCAGCCGCGGUAAUACGGAGGAUGACAGCGUUAUCAGGAUUUAUUGGGGGAAAAGGGUGAGCAGGAGGAAGAUCAAGUCGGCGGGAAAAUUGAGAGGCUUAACCACUUCGAGCCGUUGAAACUGGUUUUCUUGAGUGAGCGAGAGGUAUGCGGAAUGCGUGGUGUAGCGGUGAAAUGCAUAGAUAUCACGCAGAACUCCAAUGGCGAAGGCAGCAUACCGGCGCUCAACUGACGCUCAUGCACGAAAGUGUGGGUAUCGAACAGGAUUAGAUACCCCUGUAGUC
rnacentral:rRNA from 1 species